rnacentral:rRNA from 1 species
AUGCUUGAUCUAUGGUGGAGCGCAGAUGAUCUAGAGCACCUAUAUGAAGCAUAUAGAAGAUGUGAAAAAUAUCGGAAGAGGUUUGUUUUAUGGCCUGUUUUGUUGUGGAGUGGUAUUGCUUUUAGUAGGCAGUUGGAAACCACUUGUUUAGGUAAACCACAAACCAGAAAUCAGAUGAGACGAAAACAUUCCUUUCGUGUAUUGUUCACACACGAGUACCCAAGAAAUUUAUUGUAUCAAGUAGCAGUAUUGUCUCAUGCCAAAAAAAAAGGUAGUCGACUCUGUGACCUUGUUGUCCAUAAUGUUUUUUUGCUGCUGGGAAGGUUUCAUAAAUUGUGA